GCACGGGUUGGGGAGCGGCCAAACCCGCCAGACUCAAAAUCUGGUCGCUUAGUGCGUUCGCAGGUUCAAAUCCUGCCCCGUGCA
rnacentral:tRNA from 1 species